rnacentral:rRNA from 1 species
CGGGGGAGGCAAGCGUUGUUCGGAUUUACUUGGGCGGUAAAGGGACGGCGUAGGCGGCCACCGCAAGUCGACUGUGAAAUCUCCGGGCUUAACUCGGAAAGGUCAGCCGAUACUGCGGGGCGUAGAGUGCAGAAGGGGCGAACUGGAAUUCUCGGUGUAGCGGUGAAAUGCGUAGAUAUCGAGAGGAACACCUGCGGCGAAGGCGGGUUGCUGGGCUGACACUGACGCUGAUGUGCGAAAGCUAGGGGAGCGAACGGGAUUAGAUACCCCGGUAGUCCUAGCCUUAAACGAUGAAUGCUUGGUGUCUGGGGUUCUAUAGUCCCCGGGUGCCGUCGCUAACGCUUUAAGCAUUCCGCCUGGGGAGUACGGUCGCAAGACUG